GGAGGAAGACGGGCAGCAGCACGAGCGGCGGAACGAGGCUGACGUUGAUCUUCACGGCCCCCGCAAACCAAGGGACGCGGCAGCGGUCCGCAACGUCGUCGACGAUCCUCUCCAGAGCUCCCGGGGGCAGGGACCUGCAGAGGGCAUGGAAGAAAAGGAGGUUAUAAAGUCCUGAAGAACACCCCUAACAGCCUCAAUUCUUUAGGUUAGGCCAACCAACUCCAAGCGAACUGGAGUAGGGAGAAAGCCUGAACAACCAUGAGAGAAGGCAGUUAAGGAUGUCAAGAGAUGACACCUCCAGCUAAAGCCAGCUCAGGCUGUGCAGAAGCAGUACACUAUCCCUUCUCCACUCAAAUAUCAAGUACCAAAUGCAAGACCGGCCACCGACUCAUGACCACACUUCUUUGAGAAUGAGCUAUGAGACCUUUCCCAAACCAGAACCACAGAAGAGUUAAGGUUGGAAGGGACCUCUGGAGGUUAUCUGGUCCAACCACCAUGCUCAAGCAGGGCCACCUAGCACAGGCUGCCCUAGAAGAUGUCCAGACAGUUUUUGAAGAUCUCUUUCAAGGAAGGCUCCACAACCAGGCGAACUGUUCCAGUGCUCUGUCACCCUCACAAUACAAAGUGUCUCCUAAUGUUCAGAAGAAACCUCUUAUGCCUGCUGCCUGUUGUCCCACCACCACUGAAAAGAGCCUGGCUCCAUCCUCUUUCCACCCUCCCUUCAGGUAUUUUAUAUGUAUCAAUAGGAUCCCCACCCCAAGCCUUCUCCUCUCCAGGCUGAAGAGUCCCAGCCCUCUCGGCCUUUCCUCAUAGGAGAGAUGCUCCUGCCCUUCAUCUUUGUGGCCCUUCACUGGACUCUCUCCAAAAACACCAUCCCUCUUUUACUGGGGAGCCCAGAACUAGACACUGAAAGAAGAUUACUCCAUCUUUUCUGACUAUCCCCCAGGGUAUACACAAGAUUAACGCUACUCCCCACAGUCUGUGGGAGAUCCUCACAGCCACGUGUAAGACCAAAGAAGUCAGAGAAGCUUUCUGCAUUUGGUCAUUAAUGGUGAAAGAGGCAGAAAGACACCCUUCAAGACACUGUAUUUAAACUGCAGAUCCACAUUCAGCUCUCUGAACUCUGAGCCACGGUCAGAUCUCUGACAAGACUGUAGAGCUCACCCCUUCCUUGCUUUAAAGGGCACCAAACAGACACACAUGAAGACAGUACCUGCUUUUCAGUGGCGGUUGUGAACUUCCCACAGAGAGGAUUGUUAAUCGUUACAGUGUAUGUCAAAGUCCUCAGCUGAUUGCCACUGGAAUCUCUAUUCCAAGGGGUCGACACAGCAUCUAGAUGAGAAAUUAUGCAAAAUCUCACAUGCAGAUCACCUGAAAGGCACCAUCUCUGCCCUUUCACAUCUUAAAUCACAGUUUAAAAACAGCACUGGGGAGAGAGACAAAACUGUUUCCAAGUGGUUGUGUGCUUUUUGCAUAAAAAGUGAAAAUUUUAUUUCAUUCAAUGAGCGAAGGUGAGGCGGUAAGAAGCUGAACCUAAGUCCACUGAAAGAGACUUGGGGAUGCAGAGAAGAGUAAGCAAAUAAACGAAAAUAUACCAUUUCCUAUCUGCUUAAAGUUGAAAGGAUUCAUCUAGCAUUAUCAAAUUGCUUUUGCCACUUUGCCUUCCAAGCUAACACUGAAUAAAUAUUACCCUUUUCAGCUUAGUUUUCUUACCUUAUGAUCUCAAUGAAUAAAGUUUACUCAUCCAGAAAAUUAAAGCCUGAGAACAUCAUUUAGGAGGAUGCAGCAAUUUCAUCUGUGUGCCAACUGCACAGACUUCACUAUUUCUGGGACACAAUGGGACUGGAAAUACCUCACAGAAUGCAACAAUUUAGGCAUUAAAGUGCAGUUUUGUUGUGCAUUGAAAUGAGGUUCUUACUCAGAAACAUGACUGAUCUACAGAGACAGGCUAGCUUUUAAUAUUGGCUUUUACAGCAGAACUUGAGAGCUUCAAAAUUCUUUUAAAGCAAGGAGAAACCUAAAAUUCAAACUCAGCCCUAUUUAUCAUUUCUCAGAGGUGGAACUUUUCAGGAUAAGUUGCAACACAGACAGAAGGGAGAAGAGUGCAUUACCUACUAUACUCCUGGAAUUGAGAAACCUCUGCAUGAAGUGAGAAUUGGUGAAGAGGAUUUCAAACAUCUUGUCUGCAGUGAUGUGGAAAACUCUGUUUAUGAAAAGUCUCCCAAAGAGAUCAUUCUCAGAGACAGUCUCCUUCACAGCUACGGAAAGACAGAGAGAUUGGGUUAAAAAAUAAAGGAUUAUUAUAAAGUC